rnacentral:rRNA from 1 species
AAAUGAAUUGACGGGCACCCGCACAAGCGGUGGAGCAUGCCGUUUAAUUCGACAAUACGCGAAAAACCUUACCAAGACUUGACAUCCCCGGCAAAGCUAUAGAAAUAUAGUGGAGGUUACCCGGGUGACAGGUGGUGCAUGGUUGUCGUCAGCUCGUGUCGUGAGAUGUUCGGUUAAGUCCGCUAACGAGCGCAACCCUUGUCAUUAGUUACUAACAUUAAGUUGAGAACUCUAAUGAGACUGCCGGUAUUAAACCGGAGGAAGGUGGGGAUGACGUCAAAUCAUCAUGCCCCUUACGUCUUGGGCAACAGGCGUGCUACAAUGGCUGGUACAAUGAGCUGCAAACCCGCGAGGGGGAGCCAAUCUAAAAAGCCAGUCGUAGUUCGGAUUGAAGUCUGCAACUCGACUUCAUGAAGCUGAAAUCGCUAGUAAUCCUGGAUCAGAAUGCCAGGGUGAAUACGUUCUCGGGUGUUGUACACACCGCCCGU